ACCAGUUCUCGGGGCGGGGUGAGAUUCCCCACCGGCGGUGAUGAGGGUGCGGUGGAUCCGCAGUCUCCAGCCCGCGAGCGCCUGCACUAGCAGGGUCAGCAGAUUCGGUGAGAUUCCGGAGCCGACGGUCAUAGUCCGGAUGAGAGAGAACAGGC
rnacentral:ncRNA from 2 species